GACGAACGCUGGCGGCGUGCUUAACACAUGCCAGUCGAACGGAAAGGCCCUGCUUUCAGGGUACUCGCGUGGCGAACGGGUGAGUAACACGUGGGUGUUCUGCCCUCCACUUCUGGGUAAGCCUUGGGAACUGGGUCUAAUACCGGGUAUAGGCCAUUCUGAGUGGUAUUGUUGGAAAGUUUUUUCGGUGUUGGGUGAGCUGGCGGCCGAUCUGCUUGUUUGUUGGGUAAUGGCCUACCUAGGCGGCGUCGGGGAGCCGGCCCGGGGGGGUGGACGGCCAAAAUGGGGCUUGGGUACGGCCCAGACUCCCACGGGAGGGAGCAGUGGGGAAUAUUGCGCCAUGGGGGCGAGGCUGAUGGAGCGACGCCGCGUGGGGGGUGAAGGCCUUCGGGUUGGAAAAUCCUUUCGCUAGGGACGAAGCUUUUUGUGACGGUACCUAGAGAAGAAGCACCGGCUAACUACGUG
rnacentral:rRNA from 1 species